ACUUAAAAGGAAGUUGUCAGACAUAAAAUUGAAGCUUGACUGGAUUGAAUGUUUGGAUCUGGUAAAUGGUCAGGCACCCCUUGCACCCGAACUUGCGCUGAAGUUACAAGAAGAAGAGC